GUCUAUGGCCAUACCACCCAGAAUGUGCCAAAUCUUGUUAAUCUCAGAAGUUAAACAGGGUUGGGCUUGGUUAGUACUUGAAAUGGAGUCCAAUAUAAA
rnacentral:rRNA from 1 species